GAUGAACGCUAGCGGCAGGCUUAACACAUGCAAGUCGAGGGGCAGCAUGACGGAACCUUCGGGUUUUGUCGAUGGCGACCGGCGCAAGGGUGCGUAACGCGUGAGCAACUUGCCCGUUUCAGGGGGGAUAACCGGUGGAAACGCCGACUAAUACCCCAUGGCAUUGAGUUGAGGCAUCUCUACUCAAUUAAAGAAUUUCGGAUAAGGAUAGGCUCGCGUGACAUUAGCUAGACGGCGGGGUAACGGCCCACCAAGGCUUCGAUGGAUAGGGGUUCUGAGAGGAAGGUCCCCCACACUGGAACUGAGACACGGUCCAGACUCCUACGGGAGGCAGCAGUGAGGAAUAUUGGUCAAUGGUCGGAAGACUGAACCAGCCAAGUAGCGUGAAGGAUGAAGGUUCUAUGGAUUGUAAACUUCUUUUGUAUGGGAAUAAAGCCCGCUACGUGUAGCGGUUUGUAUGUACCAUACGAAUAAGCAUCGGCUAACUCCGUG
rnacentral:rRNA from 1 species